rfam:Candidate divison MSBL1 archaeon SCGC-AAA382M17 AAA382M17_Contig_48_C, whole genome shotgun sequence.
AAACUGGAUACGAGGCUAUGCCGGUUGGGUAAGGUAGCACGACCUGUCCCGCUUUGCGGGAUCAUACCAACGCCCCAACACGCAAGUGAAUACCAGUACAGUAGAUUCAG